GGAAGUGACCUAGGUGGUGGUUUAUACUACGUGUGUCGCAGUGAACGGGAAUGCCGGUGAGAAUCCGGCAGCGGACCCCGCCACUGUAUGUGGCUGACCAAGGCUUCGACCACGUGUGCCCCACUGUCUUCGGAUGGGAAGGGGCGGUCGGAUUUUUGCCGAGGCCACAAGCCAGGAGACCGGCUGCGACGACUGUACGUUU
rnacentral:ncRNA from 2 species